rnacentral:rRNA from 1 species
GACGAACGCUGGCGGCGUGCUUAACACAUGCAAGUCGAACGGGAAGGCCCCAGCUUGCUGGGGUACACGAGUGGCGAACGGGUGAGUAACACGUUGGUUACCUGCCCCGCACUUCGGGAUAAGCCUGUGAAACUGGGGCUAAUACCGGAUAGGACCUCACCGUGAGGGUGUGGUGGGAGGUUUUUCGGUGUGGGAUGGGGGCGCGGCCUAUCAGCUUGUUGGUGGGGUAGUGGCAUACCAAGGCGGCGACGGGUAGCAGGCCUGAGAGGGUGGACGGCCAAAUCGGGACUGGGACACGGCCCAGCCUCGUCCGGGAGGCAGGAGUGGGGAAUAUUGCACUAUGGGCGGAAGCCUGCUGUAGCGACGCCGCGUGGGGGAUGACGGGAUUCGGGUAGUAAACUACUUCCCCCACAGCCGAAAGUUUACUGACGGUAGAUGGAGAAGAAGCCCCGGCUAACUACGUG